GCCUUCACUGCACCAGAAGUAUUUCUAAACAAAGUAGCGAAGGAAAAAGAAACAAAGAUUGAUGUCUAUUCGUAUUCUAUCAUUCUUUGGCAACUGAAGGAAAUGAAGCGAGUUUAUGGUGAAAGUCACAUUGAUGUGAUUCGUGCAAAUGUUGUGGCUAAUGUGAGACCUAAAUUGAGUGACGAUGACUGCAG